AUAUUUUGUUCAACAUAUACUUGAUUAGGUUCAACCAUGAGAGCCGUCAACCAUGGAAGCUGCUAAUCUCCGAAGAAGUCUAUUUUCACUACAUAACAUACCGAAAUCGAAGUUUUACUGUGUAUGAUUGGUGCCCAGAUCUUGUGAAGAUAAUGUUUUCUCGAACCGAAUGGCCAGUGUUUUCAGCAUAUUUGGAGGAAUUAUAGAACUACAAAGAAGAAUUCACAAGUUUCUCUUUAUCUUUCAUCUCCCAUAGAAGAUUAUAAUUGAUUUGAUGAUAUUUGAGACCAUGAAAACCUCCCAACACCCU
rnacentral:sRNA from 1 species